rnacentral:rRNA from 1 species
GAUGAACGCUGGCGGCGUGCCUAAUACAUGCAAGUCGAGCGAACGGACGAGAAGCUUGCUUCUCUGACGUUAGCGGCGGACGGGUGAGUAACACGUGGAUAACCUACCUAUAAGACUGGGAUAACUUCGGGAAACCGGAGCUAAUACCGGAUGAUAUUUUGAACCGCAUGGUUCAAAAGUGAAAGACGGUCUUGCUGUCACUUAUAGAUGGAUCCGCGCUGCAUUAGCUAGUUGGUAAGGUAACGGCUUACCAAGGCAACGAUGCAUAGCCGACCUGAGAGGGUGAGCGGCCACACUGGAACUGAGACACGGUCCAGACUCCUACGGGAGGCAGCAGUAGGGAAUCUUCCGCAAUGGGCGAAAGCCUGACGGAGCAACGCCGCGUGAGUGAUGAAGGUCUUCGGAUCGUAAAACUCUGUUAUUAGGGAAGAACAUAUGUGUAAGUAACUGUGCACGUCUUGACGGUACCUAAUCUGAAAGCCACGGCUAACUACGUG